GCGCCUGUAGCUCAUCUGGAUCAGAGCGUCGGUCUUCGAAACCGAAGGUAGGAGGUUCGAGUCCUCUCAGACGCA
rnacentral:tRNA from 1 species